CUCUAGACAGGGCUCAACUGGAGGAGGGAGGGAUCCUCCUAGCAGGGCUCUAACCAGAGGACGGAGGGAUCUCCUAGACAGGCUCUACCAGAGGACGGAGGGAUCCUCCUAGGCAGGCUCAACCAGUGGACGGAGGAUCCUCCAGACAGGGCCUACCAAAGGACAGACAAAUCCUCCAGACAGCCUCAACCAGAGGACGGAGGAUCCUCCUAGACAGGGCUCUACCAGAGGACGGAGGAAUCCCCUAGACAGGGCUCUACCAGAGGGCGGAGGGAUCCCUCUAGACAGGGCUCUACCAGAGGACGGAGGGAUCCCUCUAGACAGGGAUCUACCAAAGACGGAGGAAUCAUCCAGACAGGGCUCUACCAGAGGAUGGAGUGAUCCAACUAGACCGGGAUCUAUCAGAUACUGGAGGAUUCGUCCUAGACAGGACUCUACCAGAGGACGGAGGGAUCCUCCUAGACAGGGGUCUACCAAGAGAUGGAGGGAUCCCUCUAGACAGGAUCUACCAAAGGACAGUUGUAUCCUCCUAGACAGAGCUCUACCAGAGGAUGGAGGGAUCUUCCUAGACAGGGCUCAACCAGAGGAAGGAGGGAUCCUCCUAGACAGGUCUCUACCAGAGGACGGAGGGAUCCCUCUAGACAGGGAUCUACCAGAGGACGGAGGAAUCAUCCUAGACAGGGCUCUACCAGAGGAUGGAGUGACUCCAACUAGACCGGGAUCUACAGAUACUGGAGGAAUCGUCCUAGACAGGACUCUACCAGAGGAGGAGGAUCCUCCUAGACAGGGGUCUACCAAGAGACGGAGGGAUCCCUCUAGACAGGGAUCUGCCAAAGGACAGUUGUACCUCCGAGGCAGAUCACCAGAGGAUGGAGGGAUCUUCCUAGACAGGGCUCAACCAGAGGACGGAGGGAUCCUCCUAGACAGGGCUCUACCAGAGGAUGGAGGGAUCAUCCUAGACAGGGCUCUACCAGAGGAUGGAGGGAUCCUCCUAGACGGGGCUCUACAGAGGACGGAGGGGUCCUCCUA
rnacentral:lncRNA from 1 species